rnacentral:rRNA from 1 species
UACAGAGGUGCCAAGCGUUGUUCGGAUUUAUUGGGCGUAAAGGGUGCGUAGGCGGUUGUGUAAGUCGGGUGUGAAAUUUCGGAGCCUAACUCCGAAACUGCAUUCGAAAACUGCACAGCUCGAGGUCUGGAGAGGUGAUUGGAAUUCUAGGUGUAGCAGUGAAAUGCGUAGAUAUCUAGAGGAACACCAGAGGCGAAAGCGAAUCACUGGACAGAACCUGACGCUGAGGCACGAAAGCUAGGGGAGCAAACGGG